AUCCAGCUGACGAGUCCCUAAUAGGAGGAAACGUGUUUCCUGAAU
rnacentral:hammerhead_ribozyme from 1 species